rnacentral:rRNA from 1 species
AACGAACGCUGGCGGCAUGCCUAACACAUGCAAGUCGAACGAACCCUUCGGGGUUAGUGGCGCACGGGUGCGUAACACGUGGGAAUCUGCCCUUUGCUUCGGAAUAACAGUUAGAAAUGACUGCCAAUACCGGAUAAUGUCGCAAGACCAAAGAUUUAUCGGCAAAGGAUGAGCCCGCGUAGGAUUAGCUUGUUGGUGGGGUAAUGGCCCACCAAGGCGACGAUCCUUAGCUGGUCUGAGAGGAUGAUCAGCCACACUGGGACUGAGACACGGCCUAGACUCCUACGGGAGGCAGCAGUGGGGAAUAUUGGACAAUGGGCGAAAGCCUGAUCCAGCAAUGCCGCGUGAGUGAUGAAGGCCUUAGGGUUGUAGAGCUCUUUUACCAGGGAUGAUAAUGACAGUACCUGGAGAAUAAGCUCCGGCUAACUCCGUGCCAGCCGCCGCAGUAAGAC